UUUUAUCACCGGAAAUGAUUUUGAAAGGAGUAGGUUCAGUAAGACCCCUUUUUGGCCCCAAAAUAUAGCAGUUUUACAAAAUUGUUAAAAUGUAAACUUUUAGCUAUUCAUUUGAAAGUAGAAUACUUCUGUUACAUACAUAUGGGCUGUUUUUGAUAAUACAAUGCAUAUUUAUCGGGUACUAGCAUCAUUAAGUCAUGCUAAAUUACUGAAAUCUUCAUAAUUUUAGCAUUUGAGUUAAUUUUUAGAUGGUUUCCGUCUUAAAUGGACGUGGCCGCAUUUGUGUUCAUUCUUAAUAUUUAAAUGUAAGUUGUAUUUGAUGAUAAUACAUAACAUAUAUAAAGGUUGAAGAUGAACACGGAUGCGGCCACUUUCAUUUUUGACAAAAACCAUCUGAAAAGUGACAUAUUAUGGCAUAUUUGAUAGAUUUAUAACAUUUAAGCUUGAAUAUGAGCGUUUUUAAUGACUAAAUCAGUUCACAUAAAUAAAUUGAUUCUACUAAAGUAGACACUUAAAUGUUUAAAAAGUGUCCAAAAUCUUUCAUUAGAUGAACCUGAAAUUUGGGGCCAAAAACGGCCCUUACCGGACCUACUCCUUUGAAUUUCGAAACGAAGACAGGAUAUCAACAAAGAGAGCCAAGAAAAUUGUUUGUUACGCGAUAUAUACUCACUUGGAGCUAAAAGAAAGGCCACAAAGGACAAGUUCAAUAUGCAGGUUUACAAUUUGGAAGUGGCGCAGGUUCUUUGGAAUGUCUACAACCUUUCAGGAGAAUUUUUUUUUGAAAAGCAUGGCACAGCAAGAAAAAGAUAUGACAGUACAAGACAUUCCAAGUGAUUUUGAAUAAGACAAUUGAUUGACUUUUUCAGUGUAUUCUUAAAUAAAUCAAAUAGUUGAUGUCAAAUGGUGUUGAUUAUUGACUUAAGAUGUAACCCUAUUAGAAGUGUAGCGUUUUAGUUUAGAAAGAGAAGUUGUAUUGAAAAAUCUGAAUUUGGGACACAAGUUUUAGUCAAUGUAACUUGAACUUAAAAAUGUGUAUAAUGUUUGCAUAAUGUCCAAUGGCAUAUAUGUCAUGCAUGUUCAGGUUGACAUAUGCAUGAUGUGUAUAAGAUAGGUAAUAAAAGUUGAGAGUGAAAAACUAAACAUUAUACCAUUGUGGUUGGAAUGUGGGCUUUCUUGCACUGUCUGUUGUCUGUCCACCUAUAUUUGUCGGAUUUUGUCCAACAAAAUAUUUUUUCAUCACUGUUU